UACGAAGGGAGCUAGCGUUGUUCGGAAUUACUGGGCGUAAAGAGUACGUAGGCGGUUUUUUAAGUUAGGUGUGAAAGCCCCGGGCUCAACCCGGGAAUUGCACUUAAAACUGAAAAGCUUGAGAUUGGGAGAGGAAAGUGGAAUUACUAGUGUAGAGGUGAAAUUCGUAGAUAUUAGUAAGAACACCAGUGGCGAAGGCGACUUUCUGGACCAAUACUGACGCUGAGGUACGAAAGCGUGGGGAGCAAACAGG
rnacentral:rRNA from 1 species